CUACGGGGUGCUGCAGUGGGGAAUCUUAGACAAUGGGGGCAACCCUGAUCUAGCCAUGCCGCGUGAGUGAUGAAGGCCUUAGGGUCGUAAAGCUCUUUCGCCUGUGAUGAUAAUGACAGUAGCAGGUAAAGAAACCCCGGCUAACUCCGUGCCAGCAGCCGCGGUAAUACGGAGGGGGUUAGCGUUGUUCGGAAUUACUGGGCGUAAAGCGCGCGUAGGCGGAUUAGAAAGUUGGGGGUGAAAUCCCGGGGCUCAACCCCGGAACUGCCUCCAAAACUGCUAGUCUAGAGUUCGAGAGAGGUGAGUGGAAUUCCGAGUGUAGAGGUGAGAUUCGUAGAUAUUCGGAGGAACACCAGUGGCGAAGGCGGCUCACUGGCUCGAUACUGACGCUGAGGUGCGAAAGUGUGGGGAGCAAACAGGAUUAGAUACCCCAGUAGUC
rnacentral:rRNA from 1 species